GAUGAACGCUGGCGGCGUGCCUAAUACAUGCAAGUCGAGCGAACGGACGAGAAGCUUGCUUCUCUGAUGUUAGCGGCGGAUGGGUGAGUAACACGUGGAUAACCUACCUAUAAGACUGGGAUAACUUCGGGAAACCGGAGCUAAUACCGGAUGAUAUUUUGAACCGCAUGGUUCAAAAGUGAAAGACGGUCUUGCUGUCACUUAUAGAUGGAUCCGCGCUGCAUUAGCUAGUUGGUAAGGUAACGGCUUACCAAGGCAACGAUGCAUAGCCGACCUGAGAGGGUGAUCGGCCACACGGGAACUGAGACACGGUCCAGACUCCUACGGGAGGCAGCAGUAGGGAAUCUUCCGCAAUGGGCGAAAGCCUGACGGAGCAACGCCGCGUGAGUGAUGAAGGUCUUCGGAUCGUAAAACUCUGUUAUUAGGGAAGAACAUAUGUGUAAGUAACUGUGCACAUCUUGACGGUACCUAAUCAGAAAGCCACGGCUAACUACGUG
rnacentral:rRNA from 1 species